rnacentral:rRNA from 1 species
CCUACGGGGGUCAGCAGUGAGGAAUAUUGGUCAAUGGACGAGAGUCUGAACCAGCCAAGUAGCGUGAAGGAUGACUGCCCUAUGGGUUGUAAACUUCUUUUAUAUGGGAAUAAAAAAGGGUAUGCAUACCCUCUUGUAUGUACCAUAUGAAUAAGGAUCGGCUAACUCCGUGCCCGCAGCCGCGGUAAUACGGAGGAUCCGAGCUUUAUCCGGAUUUAUUGGGUUUAAAGGGAGCGUAGGUGGAUUGUUAAGGCAGUUGUGAAAGUUUGCGGCUCAACCGUAAAAUUGCAGUUGAAACUGGUGGUCUUGAGUACAGUAGAGGUAGGCGGAAUGCGUGGUGUAGCGGUGAAAUGCUUAGAGAUCACGAAGAACUCCGAUUGCGAAGGCAGCUCACUGAACUGCAACUGACACUGAUGCUCGAAAGUGUGGGUAUCAAACAGGAUUAGAUACCCUUGUAGUC